rnacentral:rRNA from 1 species
UACGUAGGGUGCAAGCGUUAAUCGGAAUUACUGGGCGUAAAGCGUGCGCAGGCGGUUUUGUAAGUCUGUCGUGAAAGCCCCGGGCUCAACCUGGGAAUUGCGAUGGAGACUGCAAGGCUUGAAUCUGGCAGAGGGGGGUAGAAUUCCACGUGUAGCAGUGAAAUGCGUAGAGAUGUGGAGGAACACCGAUGGCGAAGGCAGCCCCUCG